UUGUUGCAUGUGGUCCAUCCCAAUCCUUCCAAAAUUGAAUUCUUAUAAAAGCUACUAAUCAUCAAAUAUACCUUGGGAACUAUCUUCAUCAUAAGUUGGUCUCAACCAAAGUGGUGGAGAUUAUUCUCAUGGCACAUGUCACCUUCAUACUCCUUUUUAUCUAUAUGUAUCUACUCCUAUUUUUAUCAUCAUCAAAGUCACUCUUUGACAUUUUCUCCUCAAUAUCAUGCACAUAUCUAUUCACAUGGAUGUUGUGCCUCUCCCUCACAUUGUUCACUUGUAUUUGGCAAGAAUGGAGCCGGCCAAUUAUGUUGGCAUGGCAAUUUCGGCCAGCCACUUUCCUCCUCACUUUCUUCUCUUGCAAGACUUGCCUCUCAACUACCCCAACAAUUAAAUGGGCAGCCACCCAUCCUAGCCAAUCAAAAAGGAGGCAGCCAACCCUCUCUCCCUCUAUAAAGCUCACUUGGCCGGCCACUCCACCUCCCUUUGCUCUCAUUUUUCACUCCCCACUCCUUCCUCCACUCACUCCUAUUCCUCUCCUACCUCUUCUCCACGAGCUGCUGCUCCUCCUAGCUACCAUGGCCGGCCAUGGCCAUGGAAAUCAUCCAAGAUGCAGCUCCCCUCCUCCCUCAAGCUCAUCCUCACCAUGAGAGCCUCCCUCUCCAUCUUCUCCCCAACCCUAGAUGGUUUAAUCUCCUCUUCUUCUUCCUCCGUUGCUAAGAUUGGAUCUUGAUGCAGGUGCAUGUUGGUCCAAGCAUGGAGAAGCUUGAGCUAUCCUCAGAUCUGAAGUUCUUGAGCAAAUUUCGUCCAAAUCCUUGCAGUAAUUUCUGCUAUCUUGCUGUUUCAGAUUCUGGUACGAACUUGUAAAAUCCACCAAAUCUCGUGCGCAGAUCCAAAUUGAGUGAUUCAAAGUUCCGCAGAUAGAUACGGAAAAGAUCUACAACUUGGCGUUGGUCUCAUCCUCAAAUUCCUUACGGAUUGUCCGUGGUGAAAGCCCUCUUCAAUACCUUCAUUUUGGCGGUGGUUUCACUUCGAUUUACCUCCUGAAACUGAAAUGGUUCACAGGUCAAGAUCUGGUCAGAUCUGACUUUGUCGAAUUAAACCAGGAGCUUGAGAACGAAUCUUUGAGUGAAACAAAUUGGGGGAUGUUUGGUUUAUACCAUGGUGAUAACCGAGAGAGGCAAUUGCUAAGUUGUGAUACUCUCAUACCUUUACUAGAUGCGAACAAUUUCGGAGAAGAAGAAGAAGUGGAAUUGGACAAGGAUUUUAUUUAUAUUAUUGGGAUUCUUAUAUUGAUAGAGUUGAAGAAGUACAGGGACAAAUAAGCCAAGCCAAGCCAUUUACUUUGAUCCAUCGUUCUCUAUGUUCUUGAUUGAGAUCUUGCCAUCCUUUGGUCUCUUGGCUCCUUGUGUUCCUUGGGUUUUCGAUUACUUUGUUUCUUUACAUACUUGCCACCAAGUAUGUAAGGUUCUCCUUGUUACUUUGCAUACCUACUCUAAGUAUGCGAAUUACGUUCAUCGCCUUUUGACACCUCUAAUUCUAGUAAAGAUAUGGGUUAACCUCAUUAAAAAUUGCUCCACUUUUGAUUAUCUCCAUUUAUGCUCAAUGUGAGUAUGGAUGUCUUUGUCACCCUUCAUGGUAUAAUGGCAACUUUUGGGCUAUUAUACUUCUUAGUUCACACAUAAACUUUAGGUUGGGAAAACCCUCAAGGUUUUACCUUGUUGUAAAAGUUUUUGAUAAAACCUUGGGCAUGAUGUUUUCCCCAAGUGAGGAUUUAUGAAAGGAAAGGAUUUGGUAAAAAUGAUGAGGAUGUGAAAAAGGUUGGGUUUUAUGAAAACUUUGGCGCCUAAGUACUCACCCAUGACAAUUAACUAGCGCAACCACAAUAUCCAAAGUGGGCACGGGCUUAGUCCGUAGUUUGUUGAAUUUGACAUGAGAUACCUUCACCACUCUCUAGGAGGGUCACGAUGACCUCUGACACCGGGUUGCGCUCUGAAGGAGGAAAUACACUGCAUUAACUUGCAGCCGGAUGAUUACUGAGGGUCUUCUGUCGUGGCGCCGGAGAUACGCUCAAAAAGGAGGUAUGCUGCCGGGGUGCCGAGAAGGGUUAAGCCCGCAGGGAGGGGCUCAUGUUAAGGGAGACAGGCGAAAGACUAUGACCGAUUA